GGUGUACACUAGGGGUGCCAUUAUGAAAUGGCUGAGAUCAAAGUAUUACUUUGAGACUCUUUGAACCUGAACUGGCUUAAUACCAGCGGAGGAAAGUGACAGGACUUAUAG
rnacentral:ncRNA from 1 species